rnacentral:rRNA from 1 species
AGGACGAACGCUGGCGGCGUGCCUAAUACAUGCAAGUCGAGCGGUAAGGCCACUUCGGUGGUACACGAGCGGCGGACGGCUGAGUAACACGUAGGAACGUACCCCAAAGUGAGGCAUAAGCACCAGAAAUGGUGUCUAAUACCGCAUGUGGCCUAACAGGCUAAAGCUCCGGCGCUUUGGGAACGGCCUGCGCAUGAUUAGCUUGUUGGUGAGGUAAAAAGCUCACCAAGGCAGUGAUCAUUAGCUGGUCUGAGAGGAUGACCAGCCAGACUGGGACUGAGAACGGCCCAGACUCCUACGGGAGGCAGCAGUAGGGAAUUUUCCACAAUGGGCGAAAGCCUGAUGGAGCAACGCCGCGUGCAGGAUGAAGGCUCUAGGGUCGUAAACUGCUUUUAUCUGUGACGAAUAUGACGGUAGCAGAUGAAUAAGGAUCGGCUAACGUCCGUGCCAGCAGCCGC